AUUGAACGCUGGCGGCAGGCCUAACACAUGCAAGUCGAGCGGAUGACGGGAGCUUGCUCCUUGAUUCAGCGGCGGACGGGUGAGUAAUGCCUAGGAAUCUGCCUGGUAGUGGGGGACAACGUUUCGAAAGGAACGCUAAUACCGCAUACGUCCUACGGGAGAAAGCAGGGGACCUUCGGGCCUUGCGCUAUCAGAUGAGCCUAGGUCGGAUUAGCUAGUUGGUGGGGUAAUGGCUCACCAAGGCGACGAUCCGUAACUGGUCUGAGAGGAUGAACAGGCACACUGGAACUGAGACACGGUCCAGACUCCUACGGGAGGCAGCAGUGGGGAAUAUUGGACAAUGGGCGAAAGCCUGAUCCAGCCAUGCCGCGUGUGUGAAGAAGGUCUUCGGAUUGUAAAGCACUUUAAGUUGGGAGGAAGGGCAGUAAGUUAAUACCUUGCUGUUUUGACGUUACCGACAGAAUAAGCACCGGCUAACUCUGUGCCAGCCGCCGCAGUAACAC
rnacentral:rRNA from 1 species